AGUGAACGCUGGCGGUAGGCCUAACACAUGCAAGUCGAACGGCAGCACAGUAAGAGCUUGCUCUUACGGGUGGCGAGUGGCGGACGGGUGAGGAAUACAUCGGCAUCUUCUUUUUCGUGGGGGAUAACGUAGGGAAACUUACGCUAAUACCGCAUACGACCUACGGGUGAAAUCAGGAGAUCUUCGGACCUUGCGCGUUUGAUUGAGCUGAUGCCGGAUUAGCUAGUUGGCGGGGUAAAGGCCCACCAAGGCGACGAUCCGUAGCUGGUCUGAGAGGAUGAUCGGCCACACUGGAACUGAGACACGGUCCAGACUCCUACGGGAGGCAGCAGUGGGGAAUAUUGGACAAUGGGCGCAAGCCUGAUGCAGCCAUACCGCGUGAGUGAAGAAGGCCUUCGGGUUGUAAAGCCCUGUUGUUGGGAAAGAAAAGCAGCAGGAGAAAACCCGGCUGUUCUGACGGUACCCAAAGAAUAAGCACCGGCUAACUUCGUG
rnacentral:rRNA from 1 species